rnacentral:rRNA from 1 species
AUUGAACGCUGGCGGCAGGCUUAACACAUGCAAGUCGAGCGGGGGAAGGUAGCUUGCUACCGGACCUAGCGGCGGACGGGUGAGUAAUGCUUAGGAAUCUGCCUAUUAUUGGGGGACAACAUCUCGAAAGGGAUGCUAAUACCGCAUACGUCCUACGUGUGAAACCAGGGGAUCUUCGGACCUUGCGCUAAUAGAUGUGCCUAAGUCGGAUUAGCUAGCUGGUGGGGUAAAGGGCUACCAAGGCGACGUUCUGUAGCGGGUCUGAGAGGAUGAUCCGCCACACUGGGACGGAGACACGGCCCAGACUCCUACGGGAGGCAGCAGUGGGGAAUAUUGGAGAAUGGGGGGAACCCUGAUCCAGCCAUGCCGCGUGUGUGAAGAAGGCCUUAUGGUUGGAAAGCACUUUAAGCGAGGAGGAGGCUACUUUAGUUAAUACCUAGAGAUAGUGGACGUUACUCGCAGAAUAAGCACCGGCUAACUCUGUG